GCAAGAUGACAGGAGCCCCUGUCCUGUCUCUACAAGGGGAGCCUGCAUUUCCCCAGGUCGACCAGUGGUCUCUGCAUUCCAAAUGGCCAGCGCUUCAUCGUGGUCCCAGUUGGAGGGCGUUGCAGGGGCUGCAGAAGGGAACACGGAAGAGGAGCUGGGCUGGGAGCAGGAGCAUGCCUUCAAUGACUCAAAUUGGGCUGUGAGGGUCCUUGGCAUCACAGGAAGGGGCUUCAGGACCGGUCAAAGUGAGGCACAGAAGGAUUUUAUUGACAGAAAGCAAGAAGUACACACUUUGAGAUAGGGCAGUGUGGGCCGUUGGAGAGGAACCAUGUCGUGUAAACACUCUGCUGUGUGAAUUUAAACAGUCCUUCAUCGAGUCAUAUUGAGGGUCUGACUGAGAGCGUGACAGUGACAUCCAGAGCAUAACAAUCCUAAAAUAGGA